rnacentral:rRNA from 1 species
AUACGAAAGGUGCAAGCGUUGUUCGGAUUUACUGGGCGUAAAGAGAGUGUAGGUGGUUUAUUAAGUCGGAUGUGAAAUCCCGGGGCUCAACCUCGGAACUGCAUUCGAUACUGAUAGGCUAGAGUUUGGGAGGGGUAAGCGGAAUUCCGUGUGUAGCAGUGAAAUGCGUAGAUAUACGGAGGAACACCUGAGGCGAAGGCGGCUUACUGGACUAAUACUGACACUGAGACUCGAAAGCGUGGGUAGCAAACAGGAUUAGAAACCCUAGUAGUCC